CCUACGGGUGGCAGCAGUGAGGAAUAUUCGUCAAUGGGCGAGAGCCUGAACCAGCCACGUAGCGUGAAGGAUGACUGCCCUACGGGUUGUAAACUUCUUUUAUAAAGGAAUAAAGUGAGGCUCGUGUGCCUUUUUGUAUGUACUUUAUGAAUAAGGAUCGGCUAACUCCGUGCCAGCAGCCGCGGUAAUACGGAGGAUCCGAGCGUUAUCCGGAUUUAUUGGGUUUAAAGGGAGCGUAGAUGGGUUGUUAAGUCAGGUGUGAAAGUUUGCGGCUUAACCGUCACAUUGCAAUUGAUACUGGCAGUCUUGAGUACGGUAGAGGUAGGCGGAAUUCGAGGUGUAGCGGUGAAAUGCUUAGAUAUCACGAAGAACUCCGAUUGCGAAGGCAGCUUACUAAACUGCCACUGACAUUGAGGCUCGAAAGGGUGGGUAUCAAACAGGAUUAGAUACCCUAGUAGUC
rnacentral:rRNA from 1 species